UACAGAGGUGCCAAGCGUUAGGCGGAAUCACUGGGCUUAAAGCGCGUGUAGGUGGGUCGUUAAGUGUCCGCGUGAAAUCCCACGGCUCAACCGUGGAACUGCCGGGCAUACUGGCGAUCUUGAGGCAUUCAGGGGCGAGCGGAACAAAUGGUAGAGCGGUGAAAUGCGUAGAUAUCAUUUGGAACGCCAAUGGUGAAAACAGCUCGCUGGGAAUGAUCUGACACUGAGACGCGAAAGCCAGGGGAGCGAACGGG
rnacentral:rRNA from 1 species